rnacentral:rRNA from 2 species
UGAGGAAUAUUGGUCAAUGGGCUAAGGCCUGAACCAGCCAAGUCGCGUGAGGGAAGACGGUCCUAUGGAUUGUAAACCUCUUUUGUCGGGGAGCAACGAGGCCACGUGUGGCCGAAGUGAGAGUACCCGAAGAAAAAGCAUCGGCUAACUCCGUGCCAGCAGCCGCGGUAAUACGGAGGAUGCGAGCGUUAUCCGGAUUUAUUGGGUUUAAAGGGUGCGUAGGCGGAACAUUAAGUCAGCGGUAAAAUCGAGGGGCUCAACCCCUUUAAGCCGUUGAAACUGGUGAUCUUGAGUGGGCGAGAAGUAUGCGGAAUGCGUGGUGUAGCGGUGAAAUGCAUAGAUAUCACGCAGAACUCCGAUUGCGAAGGCAGCAUACCGGCGCCCGACUGACGCUGAGGCACGAAAGCGUGGGGAUCGAACAGG